rnacentral:rRNA from 1 species
GACAGAGGGUGCAAACGUUGUUCGGAAUUACUGGGCGUAAAGCGCGCGUAGGCGGAUCUGCAAGUCGGGGGUGAAAUCCCGAGGCUCAACCUCGGAACUGCCUUCGAUACUGCGGGUCUCGAGUCCGGGAGAGGUGAGUGGAAUUCCGUGGUGUAGCGGUGGAAUGCGCAGAUAUCAGGAGGAACACCGAUGGCGAAGGCAGGUCACUGGGCCGCAACUGACGCUGAGGAGCGAAAGCAUGGGGAGCGAACAGG